rnacentral:rRNA from 1 species
UACGAAGGGGGCUAGCGUUGCUCGGAAUCACUGGGCGUAAAGCGCACGUAGGCGGCUUCUCAAGUCAGGGGUGAAAUCCUGGAGCUCAACUCCAGAACUGCCUUUGAUACUGAGGGGCUCGAGUCCGGGAGAGGUGAGUGGAACUGCGAGUGUAGAGGUGAAAUUCGUAGAUAUUCGCAAGAACACCAGUGGCGAAGGCGGCUCACUGGCCCGGUACUGACGCUGAGGAGCGAAAGCUAGGGGAGCAAACGGG